rnacentral:lncRNA from 1 species
UUGUCAGCAACCCCAAAAAAUUUAAGAACCAAUUUGGAUAAUAAAGCGAUUGAAAAAAAUAUUUACAUAUGGAGAAAUUGAAGUUCUCAUAGAUUUUUCCUCUUCUACCUGCCAUAUUGGAUGUCAUCAUCUUGAAUUGAAAUAUACUCACACGUGCAUUUAAAAGUUCAUGGUCUAUGGACGCAAUAUUUUCACUUCUCAGAGAUAUUUCCAUCCGUUUUCUAUAUAUAAAUAUUGAUUGAAAAAAAAUUUCAAUGAAAAAAUUAGCUUUUUGCAUAUAAAUUAACAUAACUUCCAGAUCACAUUUUUGAGAAAUUCUGACGACGACUAUUGAAAGUUCAGGAAAUUUUACAUAAAAAAAGUUGGUUUAAAAUUUUUUGAGGACUAGAUUUAUAGUAUAAAAUACUGCUGAAAGAAGUUACAGAAAACUGUCCGCUUUGGACUUAAGGAGAAACCUCAUGUAAAUCGAAAUUUUUUAGCAAUUUUUUUUUUCUUGCUUAAAUUUAUAGAAAAUUUUCCGUAGAAUGUAAAAAAAAUAGUAGAAACCGAUUUGAGAUUUUCUUUUAUGUUAUUUUUGUCGAAAAGUGAACGGUCAAAUUGGGCGGAGCGCUCAAAUAGACGAGUCGGGAACUUAGCCUUUCGAUCUUUCUGUAAUAAAUGUUAAUCUGGCUGUAUUAGAGUAAUGUUGGAGGAACAGGAAGAUCUGCUCUAUGGCCCUGGAAUUGCAAAUUAGCAAAAAAUUGCGACUAUUUUUGUGACCUGUACGCUGCACGGCGCAUUUUCCAGACGCCAUUUUCAAGCUGCCAUUGCAUCGUUAUUAUAAAAAAUUAAAGUUUGAAAAAAAUAUAUUUUUUACAUUGUAAUGUUCAUAAAUUGUACCUUAAAUUUCAAAUCAAUCUACGCGUUACAUUUUUCAAAAAUUCUUGAAAAACAGGCCGUUUACAUGAGGUUCCUCCCUUAAUGGGUUCAAAUACUGUUACGUCCCUGCCUGUUUGAUCGGUCAACUGUUUUGACCGAUCGAUAUAUUGAUUUUUCCAAGAGGAGCGUUGUCAACUGUUGUUGGCUUGACAACGCGGAUUAAAACUACGAGUUGAAUCUCGGUCUCACGCUCGAGCAGAUAUGUAUUGCCUGUCUCAAUAAAACCGCUUGUUUAUUAAGAGAGAGAGUGCUUUAUUCAUUUCCGCGGGCUCGCGCGUAACAUUUGGGGGCUCGUCCGGGAUCCGUUUGACGGAUCCUGCAAAACACACGCGAAUUUGGGUGAUCAGUGCGCGGAGUGAAAGAAUGAGAGAGCAGAGAAUUUAAAGGAUGUCCAUUCCCCGUUCCCCUGUGGUGAUCCAAUCCCACGCUUCUGCCGCUGCGGAGGGAGACGGAACGGACGCACGGAACUCGGAGCGGGAGACGUCGGGGACCGUAAAGGCGCUCCUGGAGGAAAUGCGGCUGUUACGCGAAAGCCUGGCUCGGAGGGAGGAGGAGCAAGCCGCGACGCUGCGACGACACGAGGAAGAGCUGCGCCUUUUACAGCUAAGUCUUCCCAAUAAUGUUUCUUUGUCCGAGAACACGGGUGGCGCGGCGCGAAUGUCCGGAGCGGACGUGUGCGUGUGCGGGGAUGUGCGUGCGAGCGGCUUAAAAUUAAAACCCGACACCUUUGACGGGUUGGCUCCGUUGCGCGAGUUUCUUACUCAGUUUUCGCUUGUCGCGGUCGCAAAUCGUUGGACCGAAGCAGAAAAGGCGGUUGUCUUCUUGCUUGCAAGGGAAGGCUCGCUCCGUUUUAAACUCUUAUGUCGACGGGAUAGAUUCGAUUUCUUUCGCGGAGCUCAAAUCUAAAUUAGAGUUGCGAUUUGGGGAAAGUAAGCUCGCGAAAAAUUUCUACUUACAAUUUAUAAAUCGGAAGCAGAAUACGGGCGAGGAUUUUGCGACGUGGGGCGCGGAUCUAGAUCUAGCGGCUUUCACGGAAAGCUUAUCCUGAACGGGGAAGUCACCCCAAAACGGAAGAACCUCGUUCGCCGGGACGUUAUAUAGAGGAGCUUCGUCAGAAGCUCGAGGAAAUCGGUUCUGAAGCAAGAAAGCGAGUAGAUAAUCGUGCUUUCCGCGUGAAGGCGCGUUACGAUACCGAAGCCAGACGAAUUUUAUUUUAGGAAGGACAGAAGGUUUGGCUGUACAAUCCUCAAAGAACGAAAGGUUUAGCUCCUAAAUUGCAGAGAAAUUGGGAUGGACCCUAUUUCGUGGUGAAGAAAUUGAGUGAAGUAGUCUAUUGCAUUCGAAAAUCUUCUAAGCAUCGUAGGAAAAUUGUUCAUUCCGAUAGGUUGGCUUUUUAUAAGGAAAGAAGCUUGGGUUAAUUUUCUAUUUAAGGAGAAAUUAGUUAAUUGGAAAUCAAGCCCGGGUUCUUUAGAAAUUAGGACAGUUAAAGUUAAGUGAAAUUGUUUUUGUUUUCUGCCUUUGUUUCUGUUUAAUUUUUCAGAGACUCUCGUCGUGGAGGGGAAAAUGGGCCGAGCGGAGGAUUCUCUUGGAAACUGUUUUGUGGGACCUUCGAGGAUGACCCUCUCUGUCCACGCGGGAGAAUCUUUUAAUUGUUAAGAAGGCUGCCUCGCCCACGGUUUUUGAACCAAAGGUUUUCCCGUGGGACGAAGGGCAAAUGCCGAGACAGGGACUUGAGGAGUCUUUUUAGGACGAUGUUAGGGUCUACGAUGGUUACCCCCCUUUUGUCCGAAGAAGUGAAGAGAAAACGCCGCCGUGAGUGCGUUCUCUGCGUGGGUGCUACUGCGUGAAAAGGCUUCAGGGAGCUGACCGCUCUGCGGGGCGGAGAUGGAAUAUAAAGAACCUUCCGGAAAAGGAAAGGAUUCUUCAAGGAAGCUGGACAACGCAGUCUUAAACGACGAGUUCGGUAACUUAGGCGGAAGUCCGAGGUAGAACAGGGUCGAAGCACCAGGAACGACUCAGUUUCCGUAUUCGGUUGUCGGGACGACAACUUGUGAAGAAGGAGGGGGCAGUGUUACGCCCCUGCCUGUUUGAUCGGUCAGUUGUUCUGACUGAUCGAUAUAUUGAUUUUUCCAAGAGGAGCGUUGUCAACUGUUGUUGGCUUGACAACGCGGAUUAAAACUACGAGUUGAAUCUCGGUCUCGCGCUCGAGCAGAUGUGUAUUGCCUGCCUCAGAAUAAAACCGCUUGUUUAUUAAGAGAGA